rnacentral:rRNA from 1 species
UACAGAGGGGGCGAGCGUUGUUCGGAAUUACUGGGCGUAAAGGGCUGGUAGGCGGCCAACUAAGUCGGAUGUGAAAUCCCCAGGCUUAACCUGGGAACUGCAUCCGAUACUGGUCGGCUUGAAUCCGGGAGAGGGAUGCAGAAUUCCAGGUGUAGCGGUGAAAUGCGUAGAUAUCUGGAGGAAUACCGGUGGCGAAGGCGGCAUCCUGGACCGGCAUUGACGCUGAACAACGAAAGCUAGGGGAGCAAACGGG